rnacentral:rRNA from 1 species
AUUGAACGCUGGCGGCAUGCUUUACACAUGCAAGUCGAACGGUAACAGGCCGCAAGUUGCUGACGAGUGGCGAACGGGUGCGUAAUGCAUCGGAACGUGCCCAGUCGUGGGGGAUAACUACUCGCAAGAGUAGCUAAUACCGCAUACGAUCUAUGGAUGAAAGCGGGGGGCCGUAAGGCCUCGCGCGAUUUGAGCGGCCGAUGUCAGAUUAGGUAGUUGGUGGCGUAAAGGCUCGCCAAGCCAACGAUCUGUAGCUGGUCUGAGAGGACGACCAGCCACACUGGGACUGAGACACGGCCCAGACUCCUACGGGAGGCAGCAGUGGGGAAUUUUGGACAAUGGGCGCAAGCCUGAUCCAGCAAUGCCGCGUGCAGGAAGAAGGCCUUCGGGUUGUAAACUGCUUUUGUACGGAACGAAACGGCUCUGGUUAAUACCCGGGGCUAAUGACGGUACCGUAAGAAUAAGCACCGGCUAACUACGUG